rnacentral:tRNA from 1 species
GGAUUGUGGCUCAGCGGUAGAGCAUUUGCCUAGCAUGUGCGAGGGCCUGGGUUCAAUCCUCAGCACCA